UUUCCGUAGGUGACCUGCGGAGGGAUCAUUACCGAGUGAGGGCGCCCCGCGCGCCCGACCUCCCAACCCUUUGCCGACCGAACCGCGUUGCCUCGGGGUGCCGGCGCCCGCGCCGCCCCCAAGAGGACCCAACCGAAACCCUGCGUCUCUGCGUCGGAGUCACUUUGAUAAAUCAAUCAAAACUUUCAACAACGGAUCUCUUGGUUCUGGCAUCGAUGAAGAACGCAGCGAAAUGCGAUAAGUAAUGUGAAUUGCAGAAUUCAGUGAAUCAUCGAAUCUUUGAACGCACAUUGCGCCCCCUGGCAUUCCGGGGGGCAUGCCCGUUCGAGCGUCAUUUCACCACUCAAGCCUGGCUUGGUAUUGGACGGCGGGGCACCCCCCCGCGCCCCGAAUUCGUCGGCUGGACGGACGGACUCUCAGCGUUGUGAUCUCUCAAUCCGCUCACGAGGACGCCCGGACGCGCCGUUAAAAUUGAAUCAGGUUGACCUCGGAUCGGGUAGGGAUACCCGCUGAACUUAAGCAUAUCAAUAAGCGGAGGAA
rnacentral:rRNA from 1 species